GUUACAGCCUUGCUGAAUUAUUCACCCUUGUCUUUUGCGUACUUCUUGUUUCCUUGGUGGGUUCGCCCACCACUAGGACAAACAUAAACCUUUUGUAAUUGCAAUCAGCGUCAGUAACAAAUUAAUAAUUACAACUUUCAACAACGGAUCUCUUGGUUCUGGCAUCGAUGAAGAACGCAGCGAAAUGCGAUAAGUAGUGUGAAUUGCAGAAUUCAGUGAAUCAUCGAAUCUUUGAACGCACAUUGCGCCCUUUGGUAUUCCAAAGGGCAUGCCUGUUCGAGCGUCAUUUGUACCCUCAAGCUUUGCUUGGUGUUGGGCGUCUUGUCUCUAGCUUUGCUGGAGACUCGCCUUAAAGUAAUUGGCAGCCGGCCUACUGGUUUCGGAGCGCAGCACAAGUCGCACUCUCUAUCAGCAAAGGUCUAGCAUCCAUUAAGCCUUUUUUUCAACUUUUGACCUCGGAUCAGGUAGGGAUACCCGCUGAACUUAAGCAUAUCAAAAGCC
rnacentral:rRNA from 1 species